rnacentral:lncRNA from 1 species
CUCAUUCUGGUAACCACUUGGCUCAUAUCUCUGUCUAUGAGUUUGCAUAGUCCAAAAUCAGAAAGUUUAGCAUUGAAGUCAUCAUCUAAGAGGAUGUUUUGUGGUUUGACAUCCAAAUGAGCGAUUCGUUUUGCGCACUCCUCGUGAAGAUAAGAGAGGCCCUUAGCUAUGUGAGUUAUAAUCUUGCACCGUGUGCUCCAAUCCAGAGAAGCAACCUUGUCAUGUCGACAAUAGAUCCACCUGUCCAAGGAUCCUUUGGGCAUGUACUCAUAUACCAAGAGCCUAUGGGAUUUCUCUGCACAGAAACCAAUCAAUCUCACCAGAUUAAUAUGAUGAAUGCUGCCAAUUGUCUGAACCUCUGCCGAAAAUUCUCUUUUGCCCUGACCAGCUCGAUCCAAACGUUUUACUGCAAUCCUUUCAUCACCAAAUUGCCCCUUGAAAACAGACCCAAAUCCUCCUUCCCCGAGCUUGUCUGUGAAUUGCUCAGUUGCUGCCUUUAGCUGUUGAAAUGUGAACCUCAUUGGUGUUCCUUGUAGCUCCCCAAACUCUUCCUCUUCCUCUUCCUCCAUCUCACGCCGUCGUUGGGUUCUUCGUUUACAAAAAUAGAAAAUGACGAGGAACAGAAAAAUGAAGCCACCUAUAGGAGCUAAAAUUGCAACUAAUGUUCUUACAGUGGAGGAUUUUGGUUUCAUGGUAGUUGACCCACUAGGUGUUACCUCAGCCGGGGGUGCAGGCAGAGGACUUGGCGGUGUUGCUUGAUUGGUCAAGGGACAAAAGACUACCUUGUAGUUGGUGCCGGCCGGGCAACUGAAAGUGCUGGUGGCAUCAUCCAUGGGGUAGCUGUAGGCAUCUGGGCACAUCUUCUUGAAGAAGUCCGAGUAGUCCGUGGUGCUGCAGUUGCUUGCCGCGCUGCCGGUACAGCAGUACCUGUCCUGCUUGAACACCGUGCACGGGCUGUUACAGCCCCCCGGCGCCUUCAGGCUGGCCGGGCACUGCGCCGUUAUGUUGGCUCCGCAGCGCGGCCCCUUGCUGCACCCUGGCCCGCCCUUGGCCGGCACCGGCAGGAAGUCCAUGGGCACGUUGAAGCCCUCGACAAAGGAGAUGUCGAAGAAAUCCUGGCUGCUGAAGCUGCCGAGCCGAAACUCGGCGAUGGUGUUGGGCGGCCGGCCGUUGGCUUUGCAGGCGAGCAGGCCGCCGCAGUCGCCCGUCCGGCAGGUCCCGGUGCCAUUGCCGUCGAAGGAGCAGCCCGUGCGCGCCCACAGGCACGUGGCGUUGGUGUCGCCCGUGUUGAGGGUCCAGGGCUUGCCUGGGUCGAGCUGCAUGCCGCCACCGAUCGGCAGAGCCGCAGGCCAUAUGGUGUAGGGGCAGCCGUUGGUGAUGUAAAACGUGGUGGCCUCGCUGGUGGCAGCAAGGAGGAGGAGGAGGAGGAGGAGGAGCGGUGAAGAGACGCCCACGGCUGCCAUUUGCGUCAUGGUUCUUGCCUGCAGCCGCUGAUUUGGAGCGGAGUCUGAGUUGCAAAGUUGCAAUGGGGCUCCUGUGACAGCUAACAGCGUGUGGAAGAGUUGUGUGGGAUUAGCAGACAGGGGCCGGCUUUCGUGUGCUGAAUAAUUCAACGGUCAACAUACAACAGCGACAUGGGAACUGCUUUGAUAGGACCAGGCUUGAUUGUGGAUCUUGUUUGCUUGCAAAUUACUGUACUUAUAUCUGCGCUCUUCCAAGAAAGGGGGGAUUUGCAUCUGUAUAUCCGCAUAACUAAUGUGUUUGACGAUUUUGGCUGCAAGGAAUGUGCAAACACGGUGCCAAAUCUGAGCAAAUACUACCUCCUGGGCUCUAAAAACGUCCUAUAAUUUUUUUUGCAGAUGGAGUAUUACAUUACAUGGUGUUAGCUCAGAUGGUGAAAACACCAUGUAGAACGUCUUAUGGUGAAAACACCAUGUAAUACUCCCUCUGUAAUUUCUUGACACCGUCGUGGACUCUAAAAACGUCUUUAUAAUAAACACAUGCAAUACGCCCUCUGUAAUUUCACCAUCAGAUAGUAGGCUUUCGUUUUUUGUGUUUUCAGAUGAAUAAAACACACUGCAGCAGGCAUGUCUGAUCUUAUUUUAGAAACUCAUUGGAUUGCACGUCUUUCUUCCUUCAUAAUCCGUUCCAUGCUUUGUUGCGACAGUAACGGUCAAGAGUGAAAAUCACUUUGCAAAAAGUACCUGCUGAUUGAAGCUGAUUGAAGCUGCGGUGGGCAGCUGCCUGGAAGCAGUUGGAUGCCUCGUUGACCGGCAUUCUAACCAUAUGGAGCCUUGUCUCACUAACCACACAACUCUGUCAGGUUUGCUCGCUGACCAGGGUGGUGGAAACCUUGUGUUCUUUGUGAACAUCUGUAUUAACUAGCGGAGGGUAAUUCUGGCAUUUUUCUGUACAUUUUGCCCCGCCAAAUAUGAGGUUUUGACUUAUGUUGAGUGUUUUUUUUUUUGCACUUGAUUUUUUUUUGAGGGAAUUGUACUUGACAGAAUUAUGGUUGGCUGCUUUUCGCUCGCUAACAGAACCACCCCAGAGCGAACAAGCUCAGACAGGCCCUUUACUAGGCCUGGCAGCCCGAUUACACACAAAAUAAAUCACAGGAAAAAAGAAGAAAAAGGUAUUAGAAUAUAUGUUUAUUUACCAAAUAUGUAUAGCUACACGGCAAAAAAAGUUCCCAUGCUUUAGAGGAUAAAAGUACCACAUAGUUUUGAAAAUAAAUAAAUCAAGUGUAAUGUGAAGCACACAAAAAUGCCAUGCUUGUACAAAAAAUAUUGUGACAUUUACAUUUAUGUCCUUAAUUUGCGCCCACUCUUAGAUUUACCCCUAACUUUUUGAUGUGCUCAAAUUUGCCCUAGAAAGCAUUCUAAGUUGCAGAAAUGCCUGUCUUUCAUCUAGUCAAAGUUGUUUGACCAAAACUUUGAAAAUUCAUUAAAAAAUCAUAUGAAUUCAGAAAAAUGCAAAUAAGAUAUCAAAAUAUUCAUAAAACAUCACCUAUACGUGCAUGUCAUUUACGUUGUGCGUUUAUUUGCGUUCACCCUGAAUAGUUUCUUUAAUGUUAUAAACCCUAAAAAGCUUUAAAAAAAGUGCUUUUGUCAUGAAUGUAAAUGACAUGUGCAUACAAGUGACCUUUUUAUGAACAGUUGGAUAUCUUAUUUUACAUUCUUCUGACAUAUGAAUUUGUUAUGAAUUUUCAAAGUUUUGGUCAAACAACUUUGACCAAAUGGAAGGGCAUUCCUGCGACUUAAAAUGCUUCUAGGGCAAAUUUGAGUACAUCAAAAAGUUAGGGGUAAAUUUGAGUAGUGGGUUCGAGUUAGAGGCACAAAUGUGAAUGUCCCAAAAAUAUAAUACAACAAGUCAGAGCAGUUAUAACUAAAAGACAGAACUUAACAUACAGAAGAAAAAACUUAACAAUUAUGUUUGAACCUAUGUUGUCAUUGUUAAGUAUAAGAUGAUGAUAAAAGAAAUAUUGGAAAGAAAAUUGCUGGAAAAGUCUAAUGUAAAUAAAUUUGCCAUAGGAUGUUCAAGUAAUUUUCUAUGAAAUACCAAAAAGAAUUUACCAUGCUUUGUUUAAAAAAAUUCCAUGUUUUGAAAAUUAAUUUUUAGAACAGAAUUUAUGAUGUUGUAUGCAUUAAAAGUUUCCUUAGUGUGUACGAAACAAAUUCGCCAUGGUCCAAACAAUUAGUUUGCCAUUGUUUACUUUUUUGCCAUGGUCCCAAAAUUUAUCAUGGUCUAAAAUAUAAAUUUUCCAUGUUAAAAAACAACCUUUGCCAUGGUUUGAACAAUAUAUUUUCCACGGUUCAAAGUGUAAAUUUGCCAUGGUUAAAAAUAUAAAGUUGCCAUGGUUAAAAAUAUAAAUUUUGCCAUGGUCCAUAAUAGUAAAAUUUGCCAAAUGGUAUAAAAAAGUAAAUUAUGAAUGUUGAUUAAUCAUAUGAUACAUCUAACAAUAUUGAAUUGGUAUUAAGAAUGUUGAUGACUUUUCUUAUAAAUUUAGUCAAAACUUUACAACGGCCGACUGAAGACAAAUCUUAACAACAUGGUACCAGGCCUUCUACAAUUUAUUUAACAACAUGGUACCAGUUAUUUUAAGUUAAAAAUGCCUGAACUGGUAUCAUGUUGAUAAACUAACAUGAUAACAGUUGAGACUUAUAGACAAGAACAAGUCAACGGCUAUCUACUACGAGGAUGUGGAGCAAACAAGCAUUUUUUUUAGGCAAACAAUCUGGAUCAUGAUAUCAGGUCAAGCGAAAGCCCACCUGGACUUGAUAGGGCCGGACAACUCGGCCCAUACUGGCACGUCAGUUCCAACGUGUUCGUGGCCCAGACCGAGCAGAGAGGAAAUCGGCCGGGCCCGUCCCCUUCCUCCGCCGCCCCUGCCGCACUGCCCGGCGGGAUGCUGCCGCUCCGGUGGACCAUAUCCCCACUUCUGAUGGAUUCCGGUCGUCCCUGCGCUCCUGUGGCAGGGCGCCGCUCUUCGGUACCGCCGUCUCCGGUAACUCACCGCCGGCAGCGGCAUCCGCUGCCACCGCAUCUGACAGGUUUGAUUCACAGGUACUCCAAUCAACUACAGAUUUGUGGAUCCUCCUACCAAUCAACUACUCGUGCAAGGAUUCUGAGCGCUGGGCGGCGAGGCGAGGAGCUUCAGCCUACUUAGCUCAGAGCAAUAAUCCAGAGGGGACGCACCAUUGGCACGGUAAGCAGCAACUUCUUCGUGACUACUAGUACUAUCAAGUUGCAGCAUUACAUGGUCACAGCAGUAGCAUAGAUGAUACGUGCUUGGCACGGUGGAUCUUUCAUUCCAUGAGCCUCAUGUACAAAUACGCUUUCUGUGUAUGCACAUCAGUAUUCGUGCAAUAAAAACACACUGGAAUUUUUCUCUCCAACACACGCCCAAAGGCGUGUCGCUUGUGUUAAGUGUAUUAGAAUGAGAAUUGAGAACACCAGUAUGCCCGCAACGUAUACAAAACAAAACCAGCCAACAAAAGAAGUAGGGAAAAAAAACUAAGCUAACCAAGCCUAAAAGCUAGUAUCAAAAACAGAGGAAAGAGAAGCAAAGCCGUAGGCUACAGACAGCUUAAGGCAGGGCUUGUGGCUACACUGGAAAUUGGGAGAACUAAAAAGCACUUCUGAUUUCUAAUUGUUCUGUCUUAGUUAUUCCCUACUCCUAAAAUGUACUCCAUCCGUAAACUAAUAUAAGAGUGUUUAGAUAACUAAAAUAGUGAUCUAAACACUCUUAUAUUAGUUUACAGAGGGAGUAUUUUAAUUCAGUCUAUCCAUUUCUCUGCCUUUAUUGGAGCUAGGCGCCCUAGCAGCAUUUGUAACAUAGCUGUUAGUUUCAACUGGAAUAACUUGAAACAGACCUGCAUCACAGAGAGAAACUGAACAAACUGUAGAAUAAAUAAGUUAUUCUGCUGUAAAACAAGAAGGUUCAUAAUAUUAAAACAUUUUACAGGUAAAAUUAACUCAACAUAAGCGGCUUCAGAUUGUAAUAAUUUGGAAAGAUACAACAGACAAGUCUUUCACUCAUUUCAUUUAGCACCUGAUAAUCAAAUUGUCUGUCUUCUCGGGAUUGACUCAUUUCACCUUGGACCCGAUACAUCUGAGGCUACAGGUGGAGCUGAAGAGUUCACAUUUCCAGCAAUACUGAAAUUUGGUUCAUUUGUUGCGACAAAGUUAUGAUCUAUGUUGCUCUCUGCAUCCAUGGUACCUUCCAAGACUUUGACUACCUCGGACAUUUUAGGCCUUUUUUUGCAGUCAAUCUGCAAACACCACAUCGCUAGCUUCAUCAUCUGGAUUACAUCUCGCUCGUGUGCUUGCAUGUCAUUACUGCUCUUGUCAAUCAAAUCUUCCAACUGAUUCUUCUCCACCUUUUCUUCCAAUAGGGUAAUAAGAUGGAUGCUCUCUUCAGACAGGGAAGUGUCGAGGUUCUUUCUUCCGCUCACGAUUUCCAUGACCACAACGCCAAAGCUAUAGACAUCGGCCUUCUCCGUGAUUUGUGAUGUCAACCAUUCAGGGGCGAGAUAUCCAGGUGUGCCUCUCAUUCUUGUAAUCACUUGGCUCAUAUCCCUAUCAAUGAGCUUGCAUAGACCAAAAUCAGAGAGUUUAGCAUUGAAGUCGUCAUCUAAGAGGAUGUUUUGUGGUUUGACAUCCAAAUGAGCAAUUCUCUUCAUGCAAUCCUCGUGAAGAUAAGAUAGACCCUUAGCUAUGUCAGUGAUAAUCUUGCAUCGCACCCUCCAUUCUAACGGAGGAGCACUAUUUUCAUGUCGACCAUAGAUCCACCUGUCCAAGGAUCCUUUUGGCAUAUACUCAUAAACCAAGAGCCUAUGGGAUUUCUCUGCACAGAAACCAAACAGCCUCACCAGAUUGAUAUGAUGAAUGCUGCCGAUUGUCUGAACCUCCGCCAAGAAUUCUCUCUUCCCCUGACCAGCUCGAUCCAAACGUUUUACCGCAAUCCUUUCCUCGCCUAGCUGCCCCUCGAAAACAGACCCAAAUCCUCCUUCCCCGAGCUUGUCCUUGAAUUGCUCUGUUGCUGCUUCUAACUGUUGAAACGUAAACCUCAUUGGCGUUCCUUGUAGCUGACUGAAGUCUGCCUCCUCUUCCUCCAUCUCCUGGUGUCGUCGUGUUCUUCUUCGACGUAUGAUGAAAAAGAUGAAUGUGAUAAUUAAAACUAUGGCACCUGCAAUUGCAACUGAAACAAAAAUGCCUACUGAGGGUCCUUUGCGUAGUGGCCUAAGAUCAGCUGAGUUAGGAGGACUUGGAGGUGAAGACGUUAGAUUGAUUGGUGGGCAAAAGAUGACCUGGUAGUUGGUAUCCAAUGGACAACUGAAUGAAGUUUCCGUGACAGCAUCACUGGAGUAACUUAUUGCCUCCGGGCACAUCCGCACAAAGAAGGCCGAGUAUUUGUUGGAUUCACAGGGUGUCAUAGAGCAGCAGUACAAAUUGGACUGAGUUUUGAACACAUCGCAUGCGCUGUUGCAGCCUCCCGGCACCUUGAGCUCGCUCGGACACUGUGACGUGAUGUUGGCCCCACACUGCGGCCCCUUUGUGCACCCUGAUCCCCCUUGCCCCUUGACCGGCAUUGGCAAGAACUCCAUUGGUACGUUGAAGCCCUGGUAGAGGGAGAUACCGAAGAAACUGUUGUUGUUAUACUGGUUGAGCGAGAAUUGAGCAGACGUGAUGGGUGCCUGGCCAUAUGUCUUGCAGGCGAGCAAGCCUUCGCAGUCGCCUGUCUGGCAUGACCCAUUGCCUUUGCCGUCAAACGAGCAGCCUGUGCGCGCCCACACACUUCCUCCACGGGUGUCAGAAGGCACCUGGAGGGUCCAUGUCUUCCCUGAGUCCAGCCGCAUGCCGCCACCCUCCGGCAGAGCGGCCGGCCAUACAGUGUAUGGGCAUUGGUUGGUGAUGUUGACUAUGGUUUGGGUGGUGACGAAUGGCAGGAGCAGGAGGCGGAGCAAGAGGAGGAGGGGAGGUGGGUGGUGGAGACUCAGGGAGGAGGUACCCAUAACUGCCAUCUGUGUCAGUCUGGUAAUAUGACCCCUCUUGGAUGAGAUGAUAAAGGAGGGAUGGAAUGGAGGUCUAGAUCAGUGUAUACUUGUAUGAUAUCUGCAUGUUGAAAAUGUUCAACGGUCUACGGUCAACAGCGUAUGGCCUAACUCACUGUUAGCUGUCCUCCGAUACAAACAGUUUGACAGGCCAACGACUUGAUUGCUGCUUGUGUUAGAUGUUUACUUCUUAGCUCCUUUCAAGCUCUUGUUGAACAUCCUUACCAAGUUACCAUACAUGCAAACUGUUGACAAUACAUAUUUUUUGCUUACGACAGCGCGAACAUAUCGUCGACAUAUUUUUUUUGUGAAAGAAAGCUUUUACUGUAUUACUCAAUGAUAUAUUUUUGCUUCAGGUGUUCAUUCCUGGUCUAAUCUGAUGCAUAUGCUCAUGCUGCGUCAGCCAGAUCACCUGUAACACUGGACCCUGGAGGGGCACUGGGGGCAGCAACGCGAAGGCUAUAAUCUGUGGGGUCGAGAUCACUAUGGAACAGGAUCAUGGGGGCCGGCGAGCUGAGCUUGGUCAGCGGCAGCGGCAGCUGCGUCGAAGCAGCUUGAGGAGUGGAGGUCAACAAUGGCGGCAACUCUUGGGUGGUGGGCAGAAGGCCUCGUGCAUUAUUUUUGUGGUUGGGAUGUUGGCACUUGGCACGUCAUAUUCAACCAAUCUAUCUCGAUUACAAGUUGUCAUGUAAUCCAAGCUUUUUGGAAGUGAAAGAUGUGGAGGAAUGGAGCUCAUCAAGGCCACAAAAGAAAGCAUGUUGUAGAUCACCAUUCAGCAGCCCGUUCGUUGGGGAUAAUAGUCUCUCUUCGCGACUAUUUUUAUCUGGAGCAUGCUUACACUCAAACAUAAAUUAUGUCAUGGAUGCUGUAUAAAAAAACUCAUUGGGAACGGUGGAAUGAAAUUCAGCAACAACUGAUAUUCAGAGGAAAGGAAAACUAAGAACCUGAAACAAAAACGGUUCAAAUGAUUUGAAGUACUGUCAUUUCAUGAAAAUAGUAAUUGUAUGUCCCCGGUUGAAUCAAAAUUUCGACCGGGCAUGGGCGUCUUCAACCUAACAGAAAAGGAGUUUUUUAAGUUUACAAGGAAAAAAAUAUAAACGUAAUGUAAGAUCUUUUUUUCCCUUCUUUGUUUGAAGAGUACAGGAAAUUUUCAGCAAGUUACUCAAACAUUUUUUUUUAUUCCAUGCAUGGCAGAACAUUUUUUUCAAGUUGUGGGUAGAUCUCAGUCGACUAAGACUUAACCAAGUCUCAGUCAAGUGAUAUACUCCCUCCGUCCGAAAAAGCUUGUCCCAAGCUUGUUCCUUAAAUGGAUGUAUCUAGCACUAACUUGAUGCUAGAUACAUCCAUUUGAGAGACAAGCUUUUUCGGCCGGAGGGAGUAGUAUAUAAGAAAAAGGAAAAACUGAAAAGAAUUUUUUUUAUAUGAAUCUCAGUGCAAAAUCAAAGGAAUAUAGCGUCAACUGAGACUUAAUAAAGUCUCGGUUGACUAAGACUUAGCAAAACUGUUUUUCUAAAUAUUUUCUGUACAGACCAGCUUUAUCCGGCGAGACAAGGCGAGACAAGUUUUUAUAAGUUGUUAAACAGUUUGUUUCACACGCAUAAACAUUUCAUUUGACAUGGAUGAACUUUUUUUUUCAUUAUCAGUGAACAUAUUUAUCUGGUUAAAAUACUUGCAGUGAUCUAAACGUUUUUAUAUUUCUUUACAGAGGGAGUACUCAAAGAGUGCCAUGUGUACUCACUCGGUCCGGUGAAGAGUGUAUGUUUGGGUUUAAAAUUUGUCCACAAAAAAGUAUACUUCUAUCUUCCUAAUGCACUUUAAAGUAUUUUCUCUCAUCACACGGUAAUCAAGACCAAUAGCAUUCUAUACAUACUCUUCUUAAUUUCUACAUGCACUUAGCUCAUUAGGGGUUGGGUAACUAAAGAGGAGAGAGAUGACGGCUUGCAUCUUCUCAAUGCAUUUUUACUCCCCUUCAUAAUUUGUCUGAAAAUUUCUAGAUGUACACUUUUCACCGGACGGAGGGAGUAUCAAAUACAUGACCCCUAAAUUUUGGUCCAACUGAAAAUGAAAGCGAACAGCUUGUCUUCUGGAGCGCACGCUGCGGCAUGGCCUUGCAUGUAACACGAUGGUGUUGGAGCUUGGCGGUAGGGGCUGAAAUUUCAUUCAGGUUCGAAUCCUCCAGAACUCCAAAUAUGAAGGCUGGGGCCAAAAUAUGAAACAUCCACCCAAAAAAUUGUACUCCGCUAGUUGUUCUUUUGCAGUCGGUGCUCCAUAAAAACAGUUUUUUUACGGAGAUGAGGCUGUUUGGGGGAAUCUGCUAGAGUUGCCCCGUAGGAUUGUCACAUAUUUCCAGCAAACUAUUAAGUGCAUAGCAUCAAACUUGUCUGAAUAAAAAUUACUACUAUCUAACUGAUCAGGAUUACCCCCGGAUUAUCACAUUAUUGCUAUGCCGAUAGACAUCAAACAAGUUCAGUGCAUAAUAUCCAACCGAUCAGGCCGAAGAAUUUGGGGCAUUCAUGCAUAUAUGCUUGGUCCAUUUUACAGGGACUCCCAUGACUUCAUAAAACUCAAAAUACACGCACUCAACACACAAACGCAGCUUUGUAACCACCACUUAAAAAUUCCAUGUCCGUUACUCCACAGACUACUCCAAGCAUGUUUACAAGAUAAGACGCGUCGAUUUAUUUCACGCGGUGGUGACAACGAGCUCCAUCAUAAUUAAUGUUCUGAGGGUCCGAUAGUCAGAGCC